rnacentral:rRNA from 1 species
CCUACGGGUGGCAGCAGUGAGGAAUAUUGGUCAAUGGCCGUAAGGCUGAACCAGCCAAGUAGCGUGAGGGAAGACUGCCCUAUGGGUUGUAAACCUCUUUUAUGCGGGGAUAAAGGUGUCCACGUGUGGAUGUUUGCAGGUACCGCAUGAAUAAGGACCGGCUAAUUCCGUGCCAGCAGCCGCGGUAAUACGGAAGGUCCGGGCGUUAUCCGGAUUUAUUGGGUUUAAAGGGGGCGUAGGCCGGUCUUUAAGCGUGCCGUGAAAGUUUGUGGCUCAACCGUAAAAUUGCAAUUGAUACUGGCAGUCUUGAGUACAGUUGAGGUAGGCGGAAUUCGUGGUGUAGCGGUGAAAUGCUUAGAUAUCACGAAGAACCCCGAUUGCGAAGGCAGCUUACUAAACUGUGACUGACAUUGAUGCUCGAAAGUGUGGGUAUCAAACAGGAUUAGAUACCCGUGUAGUC